AAAUUACAAACAAACAAAGUGCCUCCCGCAAAAGCUUGUACAACAAUUACAUGAAGAACUGCUCCCCUUGAUUCAAAGGAUUACGUAAACAACCGCAAUUCCAGGAAACAUACAAUUGUGAACGUGACUUUGAAGAUGAAUGUGUGGGUUCCAGCUGUUUAAAGUGAUAGCAGCUGUAGUGGAGUACUUUUUCAGCUUUGACAAAGACAAUUGCUCGGAGACUUUCAGCAGCCAGCUGGGGAAACUUGGGGAACAUUGCCAAACAGAUCCCUCCACGCACCCAGCUGAAUAUCGUUCACAUGAAUUCAUUGUUCAUAGUCAGAAAUCCGAACAAUGAAUUUCAUCAGCAUAUUACGUUGACGAAGUUUAUUUUACAGUAAUAAUUGUUCUAUAGGAACAGCUGGAGCCAACUUUUUACAUAAUUGAUAUUCACUAGCUGUCUUUGCACUCCAUCUUUGUCUAGAAUCAUUGGCUUUCCUCUCGUUUCUCUGUGUCUCCUAAACUUAUUCAUUUGUUGAUGUCUGGAAGAACUGUAAUGGUUAUCUGGUUCUGAGUUAUCCUUCAAUCUUUUUCAGAUAUGCUUGUUCGAACAAUUAAUUUUGGAAUGGGAGGAGUUGGCAAGAAUUCAGGUGUACAUCACAAAUGGAGCAUUUGGUAUUGUGUCAAGCAGACGGUGUCACCUAAUUAGGUGAGGGUUUUGACGAUUGCAGUAUUUUUAUGUUACGUUUUUUAAAGUAUGACGGUUUCACAAAGUUUGGAUUUUCUUUGCAAGUCAUCCACUUCAAUACGUUAGCAUUCGGUCUUAAAUUGUAUUUUCACUAUAUUGAGUAGAUUAUAGAUGUAUAUUUGUAUUUAUUAUAAGUUAUUUAUAUGA